GUUCUAAAUUUAAAAUUAGAUCUUAGAGAAUUCUUUGAGAUUUCUUGCUCCCAAAGUAAUACGAUUACGUAUAGGCAAGAUGUUUUAGAUCUUAGAGAAUUUAUGAUCUCUACUUUCGAGUUACACAAUCACACUUAAUGUCAAAUACUAACUAUAACACUCUCCUAUGAAUGUGUAAAUACUAAAUACUCAAGUAGCAAGCACAUUUAAUCUUUAGACAAUUGUAGAAGCAAUUGAUGAUGAAGUCGUCUUGAAUCCAAUCACUAAUGCCCUGAC
rnacentral:lncRNA from 1 species